GUGCACAGGAGUGAAGGGUUUCUGCAGGAGCCAACCUGGACCAAAGCUGAGUCUUUGUCAAGUUGCUCAGUGUUUCUGUAAACUGUGGUGCUUGUUUGAAGUAGACAACACUUGUGAAAGAAGAUGGAAAAGUUCUUAGAAGUA
rnacentral:lncRNA from 1 species